rnacentral:rRNA from 1 species
GACGAACGCUGGCGGCGUGCCUAACACAUGCAAGUCGAGCGAGGGACUUAGGUCCCUAGCGGCGGACGGGUGAGUAACACGUGGGUAACCUGCCUCAUAGUGGGGGAUAGCCUUCCGAAAGGAAGAUUAAUACCGCAUAUACUCUCGAUACCGCAUGGUAUUUAGGGGAAAGGAGCAAUCCGCUAUGAGAUGGACCCGCGGCGCAUUAGCUAGUUGGUGAGGUAAUGGCUCACCAAGGCGACGAUGCGUAGCCGACCUGAGAGGGUGAUCGGCCACAUUGGAACUGAGACACGGUCCAGACUCCUACGGGAGGCAGCAGUGGGGAAUAUUGCACAAUGGGCGUAAGCCUGAUGCAGCAACGCCGCGUGAGUGAUGAAGGCCUUCGGGUUGUAAAGCUCUGUCUUUUGGGACGAUAAUGACGGUACCAAAGGAGGAAGCCACGGCUAACUACGUGCCAGCAGCCGCCGUAAAAC